CUGAAUAUGCAGUUGUGAACAAGAAAAUUGUAACAGUGGGGACCAUUGAUGAUUCUCUUCUCUUUCACCGGUCUUUGAACGACGUGCACUUUGGCCACUCUUCUCUGCAAAAGAAGCCGAAGCCAAAGCCAUUUCUAAUACUCACAUCUUUGAGUGUGGAAGCAGAAAUGGAAGGAUUAAAAGCACCUUUCAAGGGUGUUGUGAACGAUCUUAGAGGAAGAGCGGUGUACUACAAAGAUGAUUGGACUUCUGGUCUCUAUUCAGGAACAGGGAUAUUGGCUCCAACUACUUAUAUAUUCUUUGCUUCUGCACUACCUGUUAUUGCCUUUGGCGAGCAGCUGAGUAGAGACACAGAUGGAAGCUUGAGCACGGUUGAAACACUGGCUUCUACAGCUAUUUGUGGAAUCAUACACUCAAUUUUGGGUGGCCAGCCUCUCCUAAUAGUAGGAGUUGCUGAACCCACUAUUAUUAUGUACACCUACUUGUACAACUUUGCAAAAGAUAGGGAUUCCUUGGGACGAGAACUCUUUUUAGCUUGGGCAGGAUGGGUUUGUGUAUGGACUUCUCUCUUGCUGUUUCUACUAGCAAUAUUCAAUGCAGCAAAUAUCAUCAAUAGAUUUACAAGGAUUGCUGGUGAGGUUUUUGGCAUGUUGAUCACAGUCUUGUUCAUUCAACAGGCAAUCAAGGGAAUGGUAAGUGAGUUUAAUGUUCCUAAAGAAGGAGACCCAACAUCAGAAAAGUACCAAUUUCACUGGCUGUAUGCAAAUGGAUUGUUGGGUAUUAUAUUCACCUUUGGCCUUCUCUAUACUUCUUUAAAAAGCAGAAGAGCAAGGUCAUGGCUAUAUGCAACAGGGUGGUUCAGAAGUUUCGUUGCAGACUAUGGUGUCCCUUUCAUGGUGGUGGUGUGGACAGGUCUAUCAUUCAUAGUACCAAGUAAAGUGCCUUCUGGAGUUCCAAGAAGACUCACUUCUCCUCUUGCUUGGGAGUCUACUUCUUUACAUCACUGGACAGUGAUCAAAGAUAUGGGGGACGUUUCUCCAGCAUAUAUUUUUGCUGCUUUCAUUCCUGCCUUAAUGAUAGCAGGGCUUUACUUCUUUGACCAUAGUGUUGCUUCUCAACUGGCACAACAGAAGGAAUUCAAUCUCAGGAAACCUUCUGCAUAUCACUAUGACAUAUUGUUGCUAGGAUUAACGACUUUGCUUUGUGGAUUAAUUGGCUUACCCCCUUCAAAUGGAGUUCUACCUCAAUCUCCUAUGCACACCAAGAGCCUGGCUGUUCUCAAGAAACAGUUGAUCCGAAGAAAGAUGGUUAAAAGUGCCAAGGAAAGCAUACGGCAGGAAGCUAGCAAAUCUGAAAUCUAUGGGAAGAUGCAAGCAGUGUUUAUAGAAAUGGAUAACUGUCCAGAUAAUCAUUCAGUUGUCAAAGAACUAGAGGAUUUGAAAGAGGUUGUCCUAAAUGGUGAAGACAAAGGACUCAACAAUAAGAGUACCUUUGAUCCUGAGAAACACAUUGAUGAAUAUUUGCCUGUCAGAGUAAAGGAGCAGAGAGUGAGCAAUCUUUUACAAUCACUCCUUGUAGGAGCAUCAGUCUUUGCUAUGCCUGCCAUAAAAAAGAUACCAGCUUCAGUUCUGUGGGGAUAUUUUGCAUACAUGGCCAUUGAUAGUCUUCCAGGAAACCAAUUCUGGGAAAGGAUACUACUUCUUUUUGUAACACCAAGUAGGUGGUACAAAUUGUUGGAAGGGGAUCAUGCUUCCUUUGUUGAGUCAGUACCUUACAGAUACCUAGUCUGCUUCACACUCUUCCAAUGUGUGUAUUUCUUGGUUUGUUUUGGAGUGACAUGGAUUCCCAUAGCUGGAAUACUGUUCCCCUUGCCUUUCUUUUUGCUCAUCACAUUGAGACAGCAUAUACUCCCCAAGCUGUUCAAGCCUCAUCAUCUUAGGGAACUAGACGCUGCUGAAUAUGAAGAAAUAGUUGCUGCUCCAGGACUAAGUUUCAACAAAUCUUUCAGGGAGGUGGAAUCACCCCGAAGAUCAAAGGAAAUGAAUAAUGCUGAAAUACUAGAUGAGUUAACUACUAACAGAGGGGAGUUGAAGGUCAGAACUGUGAGCUUUAGUGAGGAAAGAAAUCGCCAGGUGUACCCUGAUGAAAAUGGAUCCCCACCCUCAGAUUGUUAGGGAAAGCUGAUGAAUAAUCUGAUAUUAUAUGGCGAAUUUGGCAACCACACGAGCCACACAAGUAAUCAAUGAUAAUUUUUGAAAUCUAGACGCAAACGGCUGAGCACCUUGAAACGGUUGAGCGCUUUCAAGCUAGAGAGCUCAACAAAUGCAGCAAAGGAGAGGCGCUCAACCACUCUAAGGCGCUGAGCGGUUUUGGCCCUGGACGAAGGAGUGUUCUCUGCCUCCUAGGCGCUCAGCAGAUAUGAAGCGCCCAGUCCCUUGUGCUUGCUUAACAAUGAAGAAUCUCUCAGGCGCUCAGCGGAUUUGAACGGCCCAGCCCUUCAGAUUACUUCAUGGUGAAGAAUUCUUCAAACCGCUUAGCCGUUUCAAGGCGCUGAGCGGAUUCUUCUCUUUCCUGCCUACUCUGUUUUAAUUCUAGCACUUAUAAAAGGGCAGAGGAGAGAGAAAAGGGGGGAUCACAAUCUGUACGAAGAGAAGAACAGAGAGGAACUAGGAACAGAGCACUUUGGAGCUCGUGGGGACGCGAUUCUUCAGAUGAUCUCUUUCUUCUACCUUUCAUCUUGUUGUUUUGUGAUUUCUUAUACCAUGGAGAGCUAAAGCUCUAGGUUUGGGAUUAAUGUAUUCAUCAAACUCCUGUAUAUUCCUCUUUGAUUUAUAUAUAUAUCUCAUCUAUUACUCAA